CUUUGUUCGAACGCGAAUCAAUUCAAAACGGAACGUCGGAUCGGAGCGCUCUUUGCUGCGUUGGGUUCGUAUAAGCCCAAGGAAGGUUUUUACGCUAAUAAGUUGACAUUUUGGCCACUCUAGAACCGAUUCCGGAACAUCACCGUUUGUAUGGGGAAUGAAACGAAAAACUAAAUUUUGAUCAUAGGAGGCGUCAAGAUAAAUAUUCAAUCAAAGAAAACAAAACGUCAAAACGGAAAAGUUUAAUGUAGAACCAGGUGGAACAAACAGUUUUGAGGAGGUCAAUUAAUAAUUAACAUUAAAAAGGAAUGCUGUUUGGUCAGUAGAGAAAUGAAACAUAUUUGGCAGAGCACCCAGGCCGAAAAAAAAUACUUUUUUGAAGAAUUUUAAUUGAAAGAGUAAAAUAAGAUUGCAGAGAAGCAAACGAGGAAAAAAACGUACAUAAGAAGCAAAACAAAAAAUAUGAACGGUACUCCGUGAAGUUGUAACACACAAGUACGUACCUUUAAAACUUCGGAAACAUAAAUGUAUUCUUUGAAAUAACAUCAAAAAAAAUUAAGGAAAAAAGUAUAAGGAUAUGUUCGGUAAAUGAACAAUUAAAAAAAAACCCAAAAGAAAACAAAAAAAAACAGGACUUUUCAAUGGACUAUUUGAUUAUUUGAGGAGAGAAGUGAGAGGUCUAACGAAAAACCAAAUGAGAUAUGUAAUAUUGUAAUUGGUUUUAUAUUCAACAAAACAGAAAAAAAGGAGAAAAAAUAUAAAUAGGACACAACAUGAAACAAAGAAAAAACAUUAAAAAUAUAAAAAAGAGCUGACACGAAAACAAAAAAUUGCAGUUUUUGCCCGUGACUGAACUCAUUAAGUUGCUUUUUUAAAGAGAAUCCUAUAGCUUUCAAAAUAGCAGUCAAAAAGGAGUGAAGAUAAAAUAAAAAAGAGUACAAAAAAAACUAACAGUUAAAAACAAAAAAGGGUAAAACAUGCAAAACUGCUUAUUGAAAGAAAAAAGGGAAAAAUCCAAACAUACGGUACCACAACUCUUGGGUUAGUUAUCACAAAAAAGAAGAUAAUAGCAGAAAAGAAUGAUAAGCAUAUGAAUCUCAAAUAAAUAAAAAACAUAAACCACGAGGAGAAGAGUGAAAAAAAAAUACCUGAUUCGGUAUGAGAAAAAGAUAAAAUAGAUAGACAAAAUAUAUUGCUUCAAAACAAAAUCACAAACAUCUUGAACAACAGGUGUUCGGAGUUCAAAGUGGACAUUUUUCAAACAAAACGCCAAAAAAUGGCAGGAUGAAGUUUGCCGAAAAAGAAAAAGCGAAUAAGAAUAAAAGUGUUAAAGUCGGCAUACUGAGCUCAAAUCCCUAAUAUGAGAUUGAUUGGACGAAACAGGAACUGGCGCUUUGCAUUCGAAUUUUAAAAAGGAUUUAACCCGUAAAUUUAGAUUUUCAAAUGUGUAAAUUUUUGAGGCACUUUGGCCACUGAAACGUUUAUUUUCAACAUCACUGGCGUGUAGGCCAGAUCCUUGCGCAUCUUUUGGUAUAUAUAUAUAACAUUGAAGUUUGGAGCACACUUUCUUAAGCAAAUUUUGCAAUCAUCUGCUUUAUUGUGGACAAAAUUUUGGCAUUUUAAAAAAAAAACGUCCCAGGCAAAAAAGAUAUGCGUCACACCUCGCGCCCGAGACGCCAUUUGAUUUUGCAGAUGAUUGCAAAAUUAGCAAAGGAAAAAGGGAAGGAACCGGUUAAUGCAUUGACAAACAACCAAUUUUUAACGAACUCAGAAGCAAGUGGGUGAUUGAUAUAUCACUAAAAAGGGCAUCUUAAAAAAUGUAAACCAAUGUCCAAAAAAAAAAAAAAAGAAAAAAGGAACUUAUCAAUCACUUAAAGAUUGGUGAAAUUCUUACAAAAAAAGUUCAGCACUUUACAUUUAAUGGCGAAUUUUCAGCAGUUAAAUAAGCAAAAGCACUUUAAAUUUGAAUGCGGCAACAUGUACGAAAAUCAAGCAGCAAGAUUGAGUUGCGCAGUCAAGGCAAUGUAUUAAGAAAUCUGACUUGGGACAUUUGAAACUAUCCGUAAAUAAACUUUAUAAGCAUCGUACAAAAUUAAUUGAGAACGUAACCAUUGAAGAACAUCACAAAAGUAAAAUAAAAAUGGUAACUCAAAACAGCUUGAAAGAAACCGAUCACGAAAAAAAAAAUUCAGCCAGUGAGUGACAUUUGAAUUUCUAAAUCAAUCCCUAAACACACGCAAAGAAAUUUACUAAGAGUUUGAUUUAAUAUGUUUAAAAAGUGAAAAUAAUAAGUUCAUGUUUCGAGUGAUUUAAAAGACAAACAACAGUGAGGAAGGUAAAAAAAGCAGAGGCAACCAUGAAAGAUAGUAGGUAAUAAUGCAAAAAAGAUAAAGCAUUAAAAUAUUUUGAGAAGAUAAAGUUCAAGUAAAAAGAAAAAAAAAGGCAAGACGAAGUUUGCCGGGUUCACCUAGUUU